rnacentral:lncRNA from 1 species
GCCAUCAUGUAAGAAGAGCCUUUCACCUCCCGCCGUGAUUCUGAGGCUUCCCCAGCCACGUGGAACUCACCAUGAGAAGAGCUUCUCCCCUGUAAAUGGCCACUCUCACUUGUGGGUCCAUGACUAGCUGAACUGAACCCAUUCCACAGUAAGGACCCAAGCCCAGCAGAUCUGCAGCCAAAACCAAAGUUGCUCAGUGGGACCCAUGCCACAUAAGCCGACCCAUGGCCAACCUGAAAAUAAAUUUUCAGCCAAGACAUUCUUUUGCAGCCUAAGAGGGUUAUUAUGGAGAGGUGGAAAGAUCUUCAAACCUGGAAGGCUUGCUUCAAACCCCAGCUCUACUCCAACUACAGGAUUGGGGCAGAGGCUGGAAGAGCUAAAAUGUUCAUUUCUCAGCCUCUCCUUCUGCCAGCAAUAAGACACUGGGAGGUCUGUUGAUGUGGCAGAUGGCGGUGGCAUGCCCUGUGUCCCAUGCCCACAGUCUAAUCACCUCUGACUUCAGUCACAGCUGUGGUGGACAGUUCCGUGUGUUCCAAUUCACCUCAUGCAAGACAGCAUCCAGUCUCAAGUAUGUGCUGUGCAUCUUUCUGCUCUCUGCUCCAGGGCCUUCUCUGACACUAUGGAAGCCCACUGGGCCUGCAUAAAAACAAAACUUGGAAGUGUGAGAUUCAUGCCCUUGGGAUCGACCCUUAAUCGAUGGGGAACACGGCC